AGGGCAAGAGGGAACUGGGUUUGCUGUCACUGGAGGAUUCUGCUUCUUUGGAGUUUGUGUGAGGGCCCCAUCCAAUCAGUUGAAGGCCUACAGAGCAAAGACUGAGUAUCCCUAAGAAGGAGGAAUUCUCAAGAUUGCAAAAUAGAAAACCUGCUGGAGUUUUUAGCCUGCUUUUCUGCAGAAUUCAGACUCAAGGCUGAGGAAUCAACUCUUACCUGAAUUUCCAGCCUGCUGGAUAGAACUUGGACCUGCCAGCCCCCACAGUCAUUAAUUGGUGACUCCUCCUAAGAAAGCAGAAUACGUCCUGUUUCCCAGGGAGAUGGUGGAAGAGAGGUGAAGGCAGAGGACCCAGAAUCAAGUUCAGCUGAUGGAGAAGAAUGGAAGAUUGUUCUCAAAAUACUGAUCGGGUCUCAUUACAACUCUACAGAAAAAACAUGAUGCCUUGUUUCUCUACCAAGAUCCUGAUUUCUCCCUCAACAUCCAUUGCUUAUUUCUGUGUUGAAAAUAAUUGAGAGCAAAUGGGCUCCUGCUCCCCCUCCAGUGGUGUGGAGGAGACGUAAGGGACCGACUGCCUGCUCUCAGCUCCAGUGGGUGUGCCCUUGGACUCUGGAUCCCAGUGAUCUGGGUUUGAAUCCCAUCUUCUGCUUUCUCAUUGUGGCCUAAACCUCUCUGUGCCUUAAUUUCCUCACUUGCAAAGUGAGAAUAAUAACAGUUUUAGUGUUAGAAAGCUCGAAGAAAGCAGUGUAGUGAAACCAAAGAGAGCAGAAUUUGAAUCCCAGCUUUGCCAGUUGCUAAUUUCCUGGCCUCAAACAAAUUAUUUUAUCUGUAAUAUAGGUGUAUUCAUAAUCAUAAUGAGGAUGAUAAUAAUAUCAAUUUCAUAAGGCUUAUGGUAAGGAUUGAUAAAGAUAAUAUAUAUUCUGUGCUGAGGACAGUG